rnacentral:rRNA from 1 species
CGGCAGCCCGAGUGGUGAUCACUAUUAUUGGGUCUAAGGGGUCCGUAGCCGGUUUGAUCAGUCUUUUGGGAAAUCUGACAGCUUAACUGUUAGGCUUCCAAAGGAUACUGUCAGACUUGGGACCGGGAGAGGUAAGAGGUACUACAGGGGUAGGAGUGAAAUCUUGUAAUCCCUGUGGGACCACCAGUGGCGAAGGCGUCUUACCAGAACGGGUCCGACGGUGAGGGACGAAAGCUGGGGGCACGAACCGGAUUAGAUACCCGAGUAGUCC